AAAAUGACUCUCGGCAACGGAUAUCUCGGCUCUUGCAUCGAUGAAGAACGUAGCGAAAUGCGAUACUUGGUGUGAAUUGCAGAAUCCCGUGAACCAUCGAGUCUUUGAACGCAAGUUGCGCCCGAAGCCAUUUGGCCGAGGGCACGCCUGCUUGGGUGUCGUGA
rnacentral:rRNA from 1 species